AAACACAUCAUUCUUUUGAUAUAAAAGCCGAAGGCUGCACGGUAACAGCAGCAAUCUAAUAUUGUGUGGGGAAAUCAUAGUGCAAUGGAGGUACACGUUUGGUUGUGUAUGUGUCUUUUAAUUCAUUACACACUGCAUGCAUCAUGUGAGUAUUUUUGUGUAACGUAUUAUAUUGUAUUAGCAAGCUUUAUAUAUUACAAGCUGUUUACAUUUAAGUUUGUCUUUGACGAUUCCGAUCAUUUUGGACGUUGGUAGAUACUUGUGGCAUUGGCCAGCAUAUCAAAUGUCCAUAUAUUCACGAAAUCUAGACAGUAAAUAGUCAAAUUCAUUAUUAAUUCGUUUACUCUUUAGAUAUUAUAUACAACUUCAGGGCGUUAUUAACAUUAAAAUAUCAUUUUGAAUGCAGAAAAAUUGUGUAUAGUAGUUUAGGAGGUAUUCGGUUUCUGUGAUGUAACUGUUUGUUAUUUAAAAGCAUGAUAAAUGAAGGUAUUCAAUUGAAUUUUACGACAUCUUAGUGUAAACUGAGAUACGAAUUUACAAACAACAUUUUAGAUUUACGUUUCACACUGCUUUGUGUGCGUUCUGUAUUAGGUGGACAUCGUUUAUUUCUAAUUAGUAACAAACCAUGUAUGAAGGUGUACAGUGUCUUGAAUAUGGGGCAUAUUGUGUAUGUAAAAUCAACGCGGCAACACUUUCAACUAUUUGAAAAUGCAUGGCACCUUUGUAGUGCUGACUACUGCGUUAGUGAUACCCUAGAGAAAUAAACCGUCAACAGCAGUGACGUUGAACCAGAAGCUGUAAAAAAGCUCAUUAUAACAGUUCAACAGGAUUUAAUUAUAAAAAAGAAGGUCUUAUAGCACCGUGAUAACGAUUUUGUUCAUACAUUUAGCGGUUUUGCAAUUUUGUAAUUCUAUUCAGGCGCAUGUUCAAGUGAUCACCACUAUGAUCCAUGUGGAGUCGCCAGCUUUUUGAUGAAAAAAAUCACGUGACGUCUUAAGCAUCAAUAAACAUCUGUCUAGAAAACGUAUUCAAUAACCUUUUUGUGUCUACUGUAUUGACAAUUUCAUUCAUUGGUCUAUUAAUUAGCUGAUAUUGAACUCAUGAUAUUACAUGUAUUUACAGUACGUGCUUUUGUAAAUGAAUAUUAACGAACGGGAAGUGUAUUAAUUUGAGGGCGCUAUUUAAAUUUUUAGACUGAAUUGUUUCGUUUUUUCUCUGAAAACAACGAAGAUUAUACGGAUGAAUUGAUGUUAAUUACUGUCACUGAAUUUAUCGUCAGGUAUUGUUGCAUCCUGUGUGUUUAUCUACGGGUAGUGUUGCAUCCUGGGUAUUUCUCUAUCUACGCAUAUAAAUAUUAUCCAACCGAAAUCAAUUUGGUAAACUUUGAAUAGUAGCUAUGCAUUUGAAACGAAUAUAUAAAAUGUAUCAUGAAAGUUUGGAGUAAGUAUAUCCUACAAAAGAUAUCUCUCAUUUUAAAAGAAACUUUACCAGUUAAUUACUACUGGCAUUGAUAAUCAUGUAAAGUUUGUUAAUGCUGUUGGUAAAAAAGUGCCGUCAUUAUGAAACAAUUUAUAAUUUUACAAACUAAAUAUUUUAUUUUUACCUAAUGCAAGUUCUUCCUUUAAUCACAUUGCUUUUCAGCCUAAUCAAAGGAAGUUUCUACAUGCUAGCAAAACAUAUGUAUAUAAAGUCGUCAAUUGAUCAUAAUAUCUAAAUUGUAGUCUCAACUUUAUCUUAAGGUUAUCUGAAAAGUGAAAACAAUACAUUGCUAAGGGAUAUUACAAGGAACGUCGUUAGUCAUUUUAAGGAUUUUCUUAUCCCAGG
rnacentral:lncRNA from 1 species